rnacentral:rRNA from 1 species
CUGGGGAGUACGGCCGCAAGGGUGAAACUCAAAGGAAUUGACGGGGGCCCGCACAAGCGGUGGAGCAUGUGGUUUAAUUUGAAGCAACGCGAAGAACCUUACCAGGUCUUGACAUCCUCUGACAACCCUAGAGAUAGGGCUUCCCCUUUGGGGGCAGAGUGACAGGUGGUGCAUGGUUGUCGUCAGCUCGUGUCGUGAGAUGUUGGGUUAAGUCCCGCAACGAGCGCAACCCUUGAUUUUAGUUGCCAUCAUUAAGUUGGGCACUCUAAGGUGACUGCCGGUGACAAACCGGAGGAAGGUGGGGAUGACGUCAAAUCAUCAUGCCCCUUAUGACCUGGGCUACACACGUGCUACAAUGGACGGUACAAAGAGCUGCAAGACCGCGAGGUGGAGCUAAUCUCAUAAAACCGUUCUCAGUUCGGAUUGUAGGCUGCAACUCGCCUACAUGAAGCUGGAAUCGCUAGUAAUCGCGGAUCAGCAUGCCGCGGUGAAUACGUUCCCGGGCCUUGUACACACCGCCCGUCACACCACGAGAGUUUGUAACACCCGAAGUCGGUGGGGUAACCUUUUUGGAGCCAGCCGCCCUUAAGGGUUGAACCAGGAUA